rnacentral:rRNA from 1 species
UGCAGUCGAACGGUAACAGCGGAGCUUGCUCCGGCUGACGAGUGGCGGACGGGUGAGUAACGCGUAGGAAUCUACCCAGUAGCGGGGGAUAGCCCGGGGAAACUCGGAUUAAUACCGCAUACGCCCUACUCUUUUGUGAGAUGGGGAAAGGGGGGGAUCUUUUCGGAGACCUCUCACUAUUGGAGGAGCCUGCGUUGGAUUAGCUAGUUGGUAAGGUAAAGGCUUACCAAGGCAACGAUCCAUAGCUGGUCUGAGAGGACGAUCAGCCACACUGGAACUGAGACACGGUCCAGACUCCUACGGGAGGCAGCAGUAGGGAAUAUUGUGCAAUGGGGGGAACCCUGACACAGCCAUGCCGCGUGUGUGAAGAAGGCCCUAGGGUUGUAAAGCACUUUCAGUUGUGAGGAAUAAGCCGGGUUAAUACCCUGGUUUAAUGACGUUAGCAACAGAAGAAGUACCGGCUAACUCCGUGCCAGCAGCCGCGGUAAUACGGAGGGUACGAACGUUAAUCGGAAUUACUGGGCGUAAAGCGCACGUAGGUGGUUUAUUAAGUGGGAUGUGAAAGCCCCGGGCUCAACCUGGGAACUGCAUUCCAAACUGAUGAACUAGAGUACGGUAGAGGGGGGUAGAAUUCAGAGUGUAGCGGUGAAAUGCGUAGAUAUUCUGAGGAAUACCGGUGGCGAAGGCGGCCCCCUGGAUUGAUACUGACACUGAGGUGCGAAAGCGUGUGGAGCAAACAGGAUUAGAUACCCUGGUAGUCCACGCCGUAAACGAUGUCUACUA